rnacentral:rRNA from 2 species
GCUUAACACAAGUUGAGUAGGGAAAGUUUUUCGGUGUAGGAUGAGACUAUAUAGUAUCAGCUAGUUGGUAAGGUAAUGGCUUACCAAGGCUAUGACGCUUAACUGGUCUGAGAGGAUGAUCAGUCACACUGGAACUGAGACACGGUCCAGACUCCUACGGGAGGCAGCAGUAGGGAAUAUUGCGCAAUGGGGGAAACCCUGACGCAGCAACGCCGCGUGGAGGAUGACACUUUUCGGAGCGUAAACUCCUUUUCUUAGGGAAGAAUUCUGACGGUACCUAAGGAAUAAGCACCGGCUAACUCCGUGCCAGCAGCCGCGGUAAUACGGAGGGUGCAAGCGUUACUCGGAAUCACUGGGCGUAAAGGGCGCGUAGGCGGAUUAUCAAGUCUCUUGUGAAAUCUAAUGGCUUAACCAUUAAACUGCUUGGGAAACUGAUAGUCUAGAGUGAGGGAGAGGCAGAUGGAAUUGGUGGUGUAGGGGUAAAAUCCGUAGAUAUCACCAAGAAUACCCAUUGCGAAGGCGAUCUGCUGGAACUCAACUGACGCUAAGGCGCGAAAGCGUGGGGAGCAAACAGGAUUAGAUACCCUGGUAGUCCACGCCCUAAACGAUGUACACUAGUUGUUGGGGUGCUAGUCAUCUCAGUAAUGCAGCUAACGCAUUAAGUGUACCGCCUGGGGAGUACGGUCGCAAGAUUAAAACUCAAAGGAAUAGACGGGGACCCGCACAAGCGGUGGAGCAUGUGGUUUAAUUCGAAGAUACGCGAAGAACCUUACCUGGGCUUGAUAUCCUAAGAACCUUUUAGAGAUAAGAGGGUGCUAGCUUGCUAGAACUUAGAGACAGGUGCUGCACGGCUGUCGUCAGCUCGUGUCGUGAGAUGUUGGGUUAAGUCCCGCAACGAGCGCAACCCACGUAUUUAGUUGCUAACGGUUCGGCCGAGCACUCUAAAUAGACUGCCUUCGUAAGGAGGAGGAAGGUGUGGACGACGUCAAGUCAUCAUGGCCCUUAUGCCCAGGGCGACACACGUGCUACAAUGGCAUAUACAAUGAGACGCAAUACCGCGAGGUGGAGCAAAUCUAUAAAAUAUGUCCCAGUUCGGAUUGUUCUCUGCAACUCGAGAGCAUGAAGCCGGAAUCGCUAGUAAUCGUAGAUCAGCCAUGCUACGGUGAAUACGUUCCCGGGUCUUGUACUCACCGCCCGUCACACCAUGGGAGUUGAUUUCACUCGAAGCCGGAAUACUAAACUAGUUACCGUCCACAGUGGAAUCAGCGACUGGGGUGAAGUCGUAACAAGGUAACCGUAGGAGAACCUGCGGUUGGAUCACCUCCUUUCUA